UAUUUGAGGGCGGGCUGGAAUCUCUCGGGGUUACAGCCUUGCUGAAUUAUUCACCCUUGUCUUUUGCGUACUUCUUGUUUCCUUGGUGGGUUCGCCCACCACUAGGACAAACAUAAACCUUUUGUAAUUGCAAUCAGCGUCAGUAACAAAUUAAUAAUUACAACUUUCAACAACGGAUCUCUUGGUUCUGGCAUCGAUGAAGAACGCAGCGAAAUGCGAUAAGUAGUGUGAAUUGCAGAAUUCAGUGAAUCAUCGAAUCUUUGAACGCACAUUGCGCCCUUUGGUAUUCCAAAGGGCAUGCCUGUUCGAGCGUCAUUUGUACCCUCAAGCUUUGCUUGGUGUUGGGCGUCUUGUCUCUAGCUUUGCUGGAGACUCGCCUUAAAGUAAUUGGCAGCCGGCCUACUGGUUUCGGAGCGCAGCACAAGUCGCACUCUCUAUCAGCAAAGGUCUAGCAUCCAUUAAGCCUUUUUUCAACUUUUGACCUCGGAUCAGGUAGGGAUACCCGCUGAACUUAAGCAUAUCAAUAAGCCGGAGGAA
rnacentral:rRNA from 1 species